GACGAACGCUGGCGGCGUGCCUAAUACAUGCAAGUCGAACGCUGAAGGAGGAGCUUGCUUCUCUGGAUGAGUUGCGAACGUGUGAGUAACGCGUAGGUAACCUGCCUGGUAGCGGGGGAUAACUAUUGGAAACGAUAGCUAAUACCUCAUAAGAGUAGAUGUUGCAUGACAUUUUCUUAAAAGGUGCAAUUGCAUCACUACCAGAUGGACCUGCGUUGUAUUAGCUAGUUGGUGAGGUAACGGCUCACCAAGGCGACGAUACAUAGACGACCUGAGAGGGUGAUCGGCCAAACUGGGACUGAGACACGGCCCAGACUCCUAAGGGAGGCAGCAGUAGGGAAUCUUCGGAAAUGGACGGAAGUCUGAACGAGCAACGCCGCGGGAGUGAAGAAGGGUGUCGGAUCGGAAAGCUAUGUUGUAAGAGAAGAACGAGUGUGAGAGUGGAAAGUUCACACUGUGACGGUAGCUUACCAGAAAGGGACGGCUAACUACGUG
rnacentral:rRNA from 1 species